rnacentral:rRNA from 1 species
CAUGCCGUAAACGUUGGGUGCUAGACGUGGGGGCCUUUCCACGGUUUCCGUGUCGUAGCUAACGCAUUAAGCACCCCGCCUGGGGAGUACGGCCGCAAGGCUAAAACUCAAAGGAAUUGACGGGGGCCCGCACAAGCGGCGGAGCAUGCGGAUUAAUUCGAUGCAACGCGAAGAACCUUACCAGGUCUUGACAUCCCAGUGACCACUCUAGAGAUAGAGUUUUCCCUUCGGGGACAUUGGUGACAGGUGG